CUACGGGCGGCAGCAGCGAGGAAUAUUGCACAAUGGGGGAAACCCUGAUGCAGCAACGCCGCGUGGAGGAUGACGCAUUUCGGUGUGUAAACUCCUUUUAUGAGUCAAGAAAAUGACGGUAGCUCAUGAAUAAGCACCGGCUAACUCCGUGCCAGCAGCCGCGGUAAUACGGAGGGUGCAAGCGUUACUCGGAAUCACUGGGCGUAAAGGACGCGUAGGCGGCGUAGCAAGUCAGGUGUGAAAUCCUAUGGCUUAACCAUAGAACUGCACUUGAAACUGCUAGGCUAGAGUAUGGGAGGGGGAGAUGGAAUUAGUGGUGUAGGGGUAAAAUCCGUAGAUAUCACUAGGAAUAUCUAAAGCGAAGGCGAUCUCCUGGAACAUUACUGACGCUAAGGCGUGAAAGCGUGGGGAGCAAACAGGAUUAGAUACCCCCGUAGUC
rnacentral:rRNA from 1 species